rnacentral:rRNA from 1 species
CCUACGGGAGGCAGCAGUGGGGAAUAUUGCACAAUGGGGGAAACCCUGAUGCAGCGACGCCGCGUGAGCGAUGAAGUAUUUCGGUAUGUAAAGCUCUAUCAGCAGGGGAGAAGAUGACGGUACCUGACUAAGAAGCCCCGGCUAACUACGUGCCAGCAGCCGCAGUAAUACGGAGGAGGCAAGCGUUAUCCGGAUUUACUGGGUGUAAAGGGAGCGUAGACGGCGAUGCAAGCCAGAUGUGAAAGCCCGGGGCUCAACCCCGGGACUGCAUUUGGUAAUGGGUGGCUGGAGUGUCGGAGAGGCAGGCGGAAUUCGUGGUGUAGCGGUGAAAUGCGUAGAUAUUAGGAGGAACACCAGUGGCGAAGGCGGCCUGCUGGACGAUGACUGACGUUGAGGCUCGAAAGCGUGGGGAGCAAACAGGAUUAGAUACCCCUGUAGUC